rnacentral:rRNA from 1 species
UAAGGAAUAUUGGACAAUGGGCGAGAGCCUGAUCCAGCCAUGCCGCGUGCAGGAAGAAGGCCCUAUGGGUCGUAAACUGCUUUUGAACGAGAGAAAACCCGAGUACGUGUACUCGGCUGAUAGUAUCGUUAGAAUAAGCAUCGGCUAACUUCGUGCCAGCAGCCGCGGUAAGACGAAGGAUGCAAGCGUUAUCCGGAUUCAUUGGGUUUAAAGGGAGCGUAGGCGGACUUGUAAGUCAGUGGUGAAAUCUUUGGGCUUAACCCAGAAACUGCCAUUGAUACUGCAGGUCUAGAGUACAGUUGCCGUUGGCGGAAUAUGACAUGUAGUGGUGAAAUACUUAGAUAUGUCAUAGAACACCGAUUGCGAAGGCAGCUAACGAAGCUGUAACUGACGCUGAGGCUCGAAAGUGCGGGGAUCAAACA